rnacentral:rRNA from 1 species
GUACACGCUGUGACUAGCAUAUCAAUAAGCGGAGGAAAAGAAACUAACAAGGAUUCCCCUAGUAACGGCGAGUGAAGCGGGAAGAGCUCAAAUUUGAAAUCUUAAAGGGUUUCCCUUUACGAAUUGUAGUUUAAAGAAGUGUUUUCUGUUGAGGUUUUGGUAAAAGUUCUUUGGAAUAGGACAUCAUAGAGGGUGAGAAUCCCGUAUUUGACCUUUACUUUCAACUUUGUGAUACACUUUCAAAGAGUCGGAUUGUUUGGGAAUGCAGUCCAAAAUGGGUGGUAAAUUUCAUCUAAAGCUAAAUAUUGGCGAGAGACCGAUAGCGAACAAGUACCGUGAGGGAAAGACUGAAAAGAACUUUGAAAAGAGAGUUAAACAGUACGUGAAAUUGUCAAAAGGGAAGCGUUUGACACCAGUGUUGUUUUUCUGAAAAUCAAUUAAAGAAGCUGUUUAUGCUAAGCUGUUUAGACUUUAUCAGCUAAUCUGUUUAGUUUUGAGCUUUUCUUUAAUGCACUUUUCAGUUAACAAGUCAACAUCAAUUUCUUUUGCUGUAAAAAAGCUUGAGGAAGGUGGCUUGAGAUUCGUCUUAAGUGUUUAUAGCCUCUUGCCUAUGCAGUCGGAGAGAUUGAGGUCUGCAGCGUAGAUCCUUCGGGGCUAAAUGCAUUUGUGCUAAGUUAUAGCAUUUUAUAGACAACUUGUUGACUAUGAUUUGUCUUGUAGCUUACUCGCUUAUGUCAUUUUACCUACGCUUAGGAUGUUGAAGAUGUAGCACAUCAU